GCGGCGUGCCUAAUACAUGCAAGUCGAGCGGGGUUAUUUAGAAGCUUGCUUCUAAAUAACCUAGCGGCGGACGGGUGAGUAACACGUAGGCAACCUGCCCACAAGACAGGGAUAACUACCGGAAACGGUAGCUAAUACCCGAUACAUCCUUUUCCUGCAUGGGAGAAGGAGGAAAGGCGGAGCAAUCUGUCACUUGUGGAUGGGCCUGCGGCGCAUUAGCUAGUUGGUGGGGUAAAGGCCUACCAAGGCGACGAUGCGUAGCCGACCUGAGAGGGUGAUCGGCCACACUGGGACUGAGACACGGCCCAGACUCCUACGGGAGGCAGCAGUAGGGAAUCUUCCGCAAUGGGCGAAAGCCUGACGGAGCAACGCCGCGUGAGUGAUGAAGGUUUUCGGAUCGUAAAGCUCUGUUGCCAGGGAAGAACGUCUUGUAGAGUAACUGCUACAAGAGUGACGGUACCUGAGAAGAAAGCCCCGGCUAACUACGUGCCAGCCGCCGCGGUAAUUCGUCGUGACUGGGAAACCCCCUGGCGAGA
rnacentral:rRNA from 1 species